UACGGGGGGAGCAAGCGUUGUUCGGAUUUACUGGGCGUAAAGGGCGCGUAGGCGGCCACCGCAAGUCAGUUGUGAAAGCUCUGGGCUUAACCCAGAAAGGUCAGCUGAUACUGCGGGGCUAGAGUGCAGAAGGGGCAACUGGAAUUCUCGGUGUAGCGGUGAAAUGCGUAGAUAUCGAGAGGAACACCUGCGGCGAAGGCGGGUUGCUGGGCUGACACGUGACGCUGACAGCGCGAAAGCUAGGGGGGCGAACGGG
rnacentral:rRNA from 1 species